rnacentral:rRNA from 1 species
CCUACGGGUGGCAGCAGUGAGGAAUAUUGGUCAAUGGGAGAGAUCCUGAACCAGCCAAGCCGCGUGAGGGAAGACGGCCCUAUGGGUUGUAACCCUCUUUUGUCGGAGAACAAAACCCGGGACGUGUCCCGGACUGCGUGUAUCCGAAGAAAAAGCAUCGGCUAACUCCGUGCCAGCAGCCGCGGUAAUACGGAGGAUGCGAGCUUUAUCCGGUUUUAUUGGGUUUAAAGGGUGCGUGGGCGGUCCGUUAAGUCAGCGGUAAAAUUGCGGGGCUCAACCCCGUCGAGCCGUUGAAACUGGCAGACUGGAGUGGGCAAGCAGUAGGCGGAAGGCGCGGUGUAGCGGUGAAAUGCAUAGAUAUCGCGCAGAACUCCGAUUGCGAAGGCAGCGCACCGGGGCGAGAUUGACGCUGAGGCACGAAAGCGUGGGGAUCGAACAGGAUUAGAUACCCGGGUAGUC